GACGAACGCUGGCGGCGUGCCUAAUACAUGCAAGUCGAACGAGAGCGCCCGGUGCUUGCACUGGUCAAUCUAGUGGCGAACGGGUGAGUAACACGUGGGUAACCUGCUCAUCAGAGGGGGAUAACAUCCGGAAACGGAUGCUAAAACCGCAUAGGUCUUCGAGCCGCAUGGCUUGAAGAGGAAAAGAGGCGCACGCUUCUGCUGAUGGAUGGACCCGCGGUGCAUUAGCUAGUUGGUGAGGUAACGGCUCACCAAGGCCGUGAUGCAUAGCCGACCUGAGAGGGUGAUCGGCCACAUUGGGACUGAGACACGGCCCAAACUCCUACGGGAGGCAGCAGUAGGGAAUCUUCCGCAAUGGACGCAAGUCUGACGGAGCAACGCCGCGUGAGUGAAGAAGGUUUUCGGAUCGUAAAACUCUGUUGUUAGAGAAGAACAAGUGCUAGAGUAACUGUUAGCGCCUUGACGGUAUCUAACCAGAAAGCCACGGCUAACUACGUG
rnacentral:rRNA from 1 species